GCUUGUCUCAAAGAUUAAGCCAUGCAUGUCUAAGUAUAAAUCUUUUACUUUGAAACUGCGAACGGCUCAUUAUAUCAGUUAUAGUUUAUUUGAUAGUCCCUUACUACUUGGAUAACCGUAGUAAUUCUAGAGCUAAUACAUGCAUCAAUACCCAACUGUUCGCGGAAGGGUAGUAUUUAUUAGGUAUAGACCAACCCUCUUCGGAGGUGCUUUGGUGAUUCAUAAUAACUUUUCGAAUCGCAUGGCUCCAUGCCGGCGAUGGAUCAUUCAAGUUUCUGCCCUAUCAAUUUGAUGGUAGGAUAGAGGCCUACCAUGGUGGUAACGGGUGACGGAGAAUUAGGGUUCGAUUCCGGAGAGGGAGCCUGAGAAACGGCUACCACAUCCAAGGAAGGCAGCAGG
rnacentral:rRNA from 1 species